GUAGAACCCAUCUGGUUUUAUUAUAAAUGUUUAAAGCAAAAUCAAAAUUCUUUCAUAUUUCUUUAUGUAUACAGUAUUCCUGCGCAACGCACAUGCACAAAUACUAAUAUAAAUAAAAAAUAGCUUCCACUCGGAGAAAUGUAGAGUCCUUGCCUAGUUGAUGCAAGUGGUGAAGAGGCACAUUAAUUAAUAUUAAUUCUUGCAUUGGAUAUCGCUGCCCGAUGAUUUGCCUCUAUAAAACAAAAGGAACAAAUGAAUGUAUGAAUAAGACAUAAUCAUAUGGAAGGGUCCCAAUCAAUGAUACUCAAAGUAAUAAUAUAAUACUUUUAUUUGUUUUUUACGUAAACUUAUUUUUUUAGCCCGUUUUAAAAAAAUAAAUUAUUUUAAAAUUUAAUAAUAAUUUAGCUUACACUUACAACUCUACUAUUUAUAAAAAGGUUUUACAAUCACACAAAUUUUUGGGUCAUAUUUAAACUUGUUUAGGACCAUAAAUUCCAAAAAUUUUCAUUUUUUCUUAAAUUUUGUAUUCAAUCAAAUAGAUUCACAUAAAUUAAAAUGGAAUUAAGAAUUUUUACACUAUCAAUUUAUCUAAAAGAUACCUAAAUGUUACUCGACUUCUAACAAACAUAAUUCGUAAUGUUUUUAAAUUUAAAGAAAUUUUAUGCUAUAACAUAUAAUAAAAAUUCUUCACACUAUCAUCAUUAUUAGUGUAUACAAGGAGAAGCGGUCUUCUCUUUUAGAGAGAGGAGUCACGGGCAUCAGAAAAAUUUGACAAAAAUUUAAUAUAUAUAUAUANNNNNNNNNNNNNNNNNNNNNNNNNNNNNNNNNNNNNNNNNNNNNNNNNNNNNNNNNNNNNNNNNNNNNNNNNNNNNNNNNNNNNNNNNNNNNNNNNNNNNNNNNNCCCGCUUACAAAAUUUUAAUAAAUAUAUUAUUUUUUUGAAACAACUAAAAUAUAUAUAUAUAUAUAUAUAUAUAUAUAUAUAUAUAUAAUGUAAAAAUUGUAAUAGAUUACUAGUGUGGCAUUUUAUAUAUAAAAAAAAAACAGAUCUUGGCUGGAUGACAAAAUGUACUCGUGACCUUUUGAAUUUUGGGUCUAAACUCAAUAAACACCAUUAAAGGAUGUAAUAUAACAAAUGUGACUGAUCUUCUCUUAAUUAGAGAUCUAGGAUCUCAACGCUAGGUAUAAAUCCUUGGUAGGAAAUGUGUGCUUCUCCUCAAAUAGAGUCUUAAGCGAAGCGAAUUCAAAUAUAAUCGGGCUCCAACAUAACAAUAGGCUAAACCAUAAAAAGAAAGAAAGAUAAACCCAAUAAACAAACAUGCCCCAAGUGAAAUAUAAAUGAAAUACACUAGGUCUGAAUAUUUCCAACUAAUAUAGUAUAGUAAAGAACAGCUACAUCAUAUUGUCCAUUGUUCUCUUUUUGUCCCAUCAGUAUUUAAUGUUCCUGUAAUAGAUCUCGUGGCUUCUAAAAGGGCACGACUUUCGCCAAAGCUAUGUGGUGUCGUCUUCUUUUUUCAUAGUCAUAAACUUAGAGUAUAUUCAUGUGUGACAAACGAGACCGCUAAUUCUCUUUCAAUUUUCAUAUUUAAGAGAAAAAAAUGAGUAAAUGCGUUAGAUGUCAAUCGCUUUUUCAAAUUACUGGUACUGACUUAGAGUGAGAACCUAUCUUAGUCUUCCUUUUUUCUCACAUUAUAUAUUCAAAAGUAGUGUUCUUGUUUUGUCCAAAUACAAAGAGAAAUGGGGAGAGCGCCGUGUUGUGCUAAAGAGGGUUUGCGUAAAGGUCCUUGGUCUACAAAAGAAGAUUUGUUGCUUAGUAAUUAUAUUAAGGAAAAUGGUGAAGGCCAAUGGAGAAACUUGCCCAACAAAGCUGGUAUGCAAUUAUCUUUUCAUAAUUCAAUCUCACACUCUAUUCCUACGAUGCAUAUGAUUAUGUUCAGAGUCGGGUUCUGAAUUUUUGCACGAGGGGGACACAUUGUUCUAAUCGACUAAUGUCCCCUAUAAGCUUUUACUAAUAAGGGUGUCAAGUACUUUAAAUUAAUUAUUUUCAAGAUAUAUAUAUAUAUAUAUAUAUAUAUAUAUAUAUAUAUAUAUAUAUAUAUAUGCCGAAGCAUACGAGGGUACAUUGAUCCUUCGUUAUAAUAUAUAGGUCUGUCUCGGUUUAUGUUGGAAGUUAUUUUUCCAAGAAUAUUUUCCAAGUCACUUUCUAGUGUUUUGUUUUUCUAUCAAAGUAAUUAAAAUAGCACGGUCCAUUUAAUUUUUAAAUUGGUUAUUCAAAAAUUCCAGAGUAUAUCAAAUUAUUAAAAAAUAAUCAUUAUUUUGAUGCAAUAAAAAUUAAUUCAUUUUUAAAAUUGUGACUAUUUUUAAAUAACCGUCUGUAAAUUUCUCCCAUGAAAGUAGCAAAACUGUCCUCCCUCGCUUAUGCGUAGAAGUCCGUUUUCUUAAGAACAUGUUUAACUUUUAACUUCAUAUUACUUGCUAGCUAACAAUUGAAAAUUAUUAUGUAUUAAUUUUUACCACUCAAAAAUUUCAUCGCAACACUUUUAUUUAUUAUUAUUAUUAUUAUUAUUAUUAUUAUUAUUAUUAUUAUUAUUAUUAUUAUUUCCAUCAUACCCAAAAAUAUCAUGUAUAUAUGUUGCUGCUUGGUCCUAUUAACUUCUAAUGUGCUACUUUAUUCGCAUAUUCAAUAAAAUUUUUAUUUGUUAUUAUUAUUACUAUUAUUAUUAUUAUUAUUAUUAUUAUUAUUAUUAUUAUUAUUAUUAUACCCAAAAAUACCAUGUAUAUAUGUUGCUGCUUGGUCCUAUUAACUUCUAAUAUGCUACUUCACUCGCAUAUUCAAUAAAAUUUUUAUUUGGUAUCAUGUUAAAUUAUAUAAAUUACUUGCUUAAAAGCUUAAGCUGUUGAGAUGAGACGCUUGUAUUAAUUUGUUUUCCGACUAUUUUAUUCAAAUUCAGGGUUGCUUAGAUGUGGAAAAAGUUGUCGAUUAAGAUGGAUGAACUAUCUAAGGCCAGGAAUCAAAAGAGGAAAUUUCAGCCAAGAUGAAGAAGAUCUAAUAAUAAGACUUCAUUCUCUUUUGGGCAAUCGUUGGUCACUCAUAGCUGGAAGAUUACCGGGUCGAACUGACAAUGAAAUCAAGAAUUAUUGGAACACACAUCUCAUCAAGAAGCUCAAAAGUGCUGGAAUUGUGCCUAAAGUUAACAAGAUUUUCUCCAAAUAUUGUCCCAGAAAACAAGCCAAAAUAGAGAAACCAAGAAAGAAACAAGACAAGAAAUUAAAAACCAAGAAGAAAAAAGACCAACCUUUAGUACAAAAUACUAGUGACUCUCCUCAAGUUGUAUUUGUCCCCAAGCCAAUAAGAAUUAGCUCUUGUAGCAACCACAGAGUUGAAGAUGUU
rnacentral:lncRNA from 1 species